ensembl:rRNA 5S_rRNA 5S ribosomal RNA
GCUUUCGGCCAUACCACCCUGAGCACUCCCGCUCUCGUCUGAUCUCGUAAGCUAAGCAGGGUUGGGCUUGGUUAGUACUUGGAUGGGAGACUAGCUGGGAAUACCAGGUGCUGUAAAAU